AAAGUCGUAACAAGGUUUCCGUAGGUGAACCUGCGGAAGGAUCAUUAUUGAAUAAAACUGGCGUAAGUUGCUGCUGGCUUUUAGGAGCAUGUGCACACUUAUUCCAUUUUUUAAACCCUCCUGUGCACACUAUGUAGAUCUGAACAAUUUUCGAGAGAGUUUCUCUUGGUUUGAGAAUUGCUAUGUGAAAACUAGCUUUUCUCGUGCUUCAGAUUCUAUGUUCUACAUACACCCAAAAAUGUAUUAGAAUGUUAUUAAUGAGCCUUUGUGCUUAUAAAAAUUAAAUACAACUUUCAACAACGGAUCUCUUGGCUCUC
rnacentral:misc_RNA from 1 species